UACGAAGGGGGCUAGCGUUGCUCGGAAUCACUGGGCGUAAAGGGUGCGUAGGCGGGUCUUUAAGUCAGGGGUGAAAUCCUGGAGCUCAACUCCAGAACUGCCUUUGAUACUGAAGAUCUUGAGUUCGGGAGAGGUGAGUGGAACUGCGAGUGUAGAGGUGAAAUUCGUAGAUAUUCGCAAGAACACCAGUGGCGAACGCGGCUCACUGGCCCGAUACUGACGCUGAGGCACGAAAGCGUGGGGAGCAAACAGG
rnacentral:rRNA from 1 species